GUUAUUUGAGAAAGUUAAGGCAUUAUAAGAAGUCUGCAUUUUGAAGCAUGUUAUUACCAGGCAAUUGAAGCAGCUAUAGAACUGAAUCUUAAAACAGUAGAGGCGGGAGCUCAGGGUGAACACAAGAUUUAACGUGGAUAUCUUCCUGUGACAACUUUUAGCUGUCAUUACCUUGUUGAUGAAGAAUUUAGGGAAGCUAUACAAGAAUUUUUAAUACGUGAAGCUUCCCAGGCACCUGACUUGGAAUCACCCAGAAAUGGAAAGCCUUCCUCUGAAGGGAGUCAUAUUCCUGAAGGCCAUGACUUAGAUUCACCUAGCACUGUUUAGUUUAUUUUUUGCUUUUAAUUUAUGCACUCUAAUUAAGAAAUUUAAAUACAUACUUCUAUGUUUUCUUUGAAU